rnacentral:rRNA from 1 species
CCUACGGGAGGCAGCAGUGAGGAAUAUUGGUCAAUGGGCGCGCGCCUGAACCAGCCAAGUAGCGUGAAGGAUGACUGCCCUACGGGUUGUAAACUUCUUUUAUAAAGGAAUAAAGUGAGGCACGUGUGCCUUUUUGUAUGUACUUUAUGAAUAAGGAUCGGCUAACCCCGUUCCAGCAGCCGCGGUAAUACGGAGGAAUGGAGCGUUUUCCGGAUUUUUUGGGUUUUAAGGGAGCCGAGAUGGGUUGUUAAGUCAGUUGUGAAAGUUUGCGGCUCAACCGUAAAAUUGCAAUUGAUACUGGCAGCCUUGAGUACAGUUGAGGUAGGCGGAAUGCGUGGUGUAGCGGUGAAAUGCUUAGAUAGCACGAAGAACUCCGAUUGCGAAGGCAGCCUACUAAACUGCCACUGACAUUGAUGCUCGAAAGUGUGGGUAUCAAACAGGAUUAGAUACCCGAGUAGUC